ACCCGGGGAUCCUCUAGAGAUUCGUAGGUGAACCUGCGGAAGGAUCAUUACUGA
rnacentral:rRNA from 1 species